UACGAAGGGAGCUAGCGUUGUUCGGAAUUACUGGGCGUAAAGGGCGCGUAGGCGGUCUUAUAAGUCUGAUGUGAAAGACCUGGGCUUAACCUGGGAACUGCAUUGGAUACUGUAAGACUAGAGGGUGUGAGAGGAAAGUGGAAUGACGAGUGUAGAGGUGAAAUUCGUAGAUAUUCGUUGGAACACCAGAGGCGAAGGCGGCUUUCUGGCACACUACUGACGCUAAGGCGCGAAAGCGUGGGGAGCAAACAGG
rnacentral:rRNA from 1 species